AUAUAAUUAAGGGGAGGAAAAGAAACCAACUCGGAUUCCCCUAGUAACGGCGAGUGAAGCGGGAAGAGCUCAUGUUGUAAAUCUCCAGCUUGCUGGCGAAUUGUAGUCUAAAGGUGCGUGCUCAGUCGUGGUCCCGGGCUAAGUCUGUUGGAAAACAGCAUCAUGGACGGUGACAAUCCGGUUCUUGCCUGGGGUCCCGCGGCGUACGAGCCGUUUCCGACGAGUCGUGUUGCUUGGGAUUGCAGCACUAAGUGGGUGGUAAAUUCCAUCUAAAGCUAAAUAUUGGUGGGAGACCGAUAGCGAACAAGUACCGUGAGGGAAAGAUGAAAAGACUUUUGAAAAGAGAGUAAAAUAGUACCUGAAACUGCUGAAAGGGAAGCGAUUGAAGUCAGUGUUGCUCCUGGUCUUUUUGCCGUCGCCCCCGUGGGGGUUGCGGCGUGGGGCCUGGAGCGUUUCAACAUGCGUUCUGUUCCGCGGGAAAUGUUCAGUGUGCUGGAACCUUCGGGGAAACGCACUGUUCUUGUCGUGGUUAGGACGGAGGACCUUUGCUCCUUUGACUGCGCGUUCCUCUCUCGGGUAUGCUGGUGUCUACUGCUUGCAGUUUUCAUUUUCAUGCUUGCGACUGUGCGUGUUAUUCAUGAGCGAACAUGAUGUUGAAGAAAUGGCUUUAAUUACCCCGUCUUGAAA
rnacentral:rRNA from 1 species